AUGGAUUUCACCCCAAACUUCGGCAUGGAUACUUUGCAUCAAUUUCUCACGCUUUGGCAGUUGGUUGGCGCUUGGGAGCCAGCGGAGGUGGAUGUGCCUGAUGUGAUCAAGUGGUCGUGGGAGGAAAACGGCCGGUUCUCGGUGAAAUCAGCGUAUGCGGCUGCGUUUUGGGGAAGAGAGGUAAUCCCAACGGCGGACUUGACAUGGAAGUCGCGCGCUCCUUUGCAAUGCAGGUUCUUUAUUUGGUUGGCCAUGAAAGACAGAUGCUUGACCUCUGAUCGUCUUGCACGACGAGGCCUACCACAUCAAGCCGCAUGCCCUUUCUGUGAUCAAGAGGAGGAAACGAUCAAUCAUCUCAUGCUCACAUGUGUGUUCACUAGAACAAUCUGGGCGGCCAUUUGUGCGGCGCUGGGCUCUCCGGCUUGGAUCCCAACUACACAGGACUCGCUGGUACAAUGGGCCAUUGACAAGCGCGGAUCGAAUGAUGCGAGUACGAAGGAUCUACGAACCACUUUUGCUCUUGUGUGGUGGGAGUUCUCGAAGCAUCGGAAUGCAAUAGUCUUUGAUGGUGCGCGGCCGUCGGUCUUCCAGUUGCUAAACAAGAUUCGUAACGAGGGCUUAGUUUGGGUAUCGGCUGGGUUACUAAAAGGGCAUGUAACUCCCUUCUUCCAUAGGGUAGAAAGGUGGGUGAGUGGUGAAGACUAA
rnacentral:rRNA from 1 species